AGAAAAAGCCCCAGAAGGUGAGUAGUAGGUCUGAUUUUGUGCUGUUACAUGGUUAAAUUAUCAAAAAGGAGUGCAAUUUAAUUUACAAGUUUUUAAAAUUUACAUAUUUCUGACCAGAGGCCAAUUUUUUUGGCUAAGUUGAUCCUUAUUCUUUUGUUUCUUAGGUUUACUUCUUUCCCCUUUUCUUUUGGGUCUUUGUAUCAAGUAAAAUGAGGAUGCACAUAUUUUGUGUGGGUUGUCAAUAAUUGGUAGGGAUGAAAGUAGAUGUGUUUUAUCCAGUGCAAUCAGGACUGGACAUACUUUAGGUCUUUGCCAUUUCUUCUUUGUCCUUACCUUUAUCUCUCUUCUUUUUAUUCUUCUUCACUACUUCCUUUAGUCUUCUUUGUACUAUCAGAAUUCUUUUCUUUUCUUUUCUGACAUGGUAGCUAAGGUUAGUUUUGCUGAUUUCCUUGUAUGCAUAUGCAUGUGAUUUUUAU
rnacentral:misc_RNA from 1 species